AAUUGAAUUUCUUUUGAUUAAUGUACGGCAGAAAACAAGUGUGGGGGAAGUGUGAGUUAUUAUGCUUGUUGAAAAGAAAAGAAGAGUUGAGAAAAAAAAAAGAGUUUUAAAGUGUUGCUUGUUGAAGAAAGGGUCCAAAACAUAGAAUUCGGCCCUAAAUAUUGCUUGAAUUUUCCCUUCGUGUCUAAAAGCUGAUUUCUGCAAUCUAAGUGAAUUCUAAGUUUCAAUUUCAUUACUUUGCUUGCUAUUGCUUUAAGAACGAUUGUUAUCCUUAUCCUUCAUUUGUUAGCCAUCACCCCAAGCCCCGUUACAACCCUUAACUUCAUCUUGAGUGUCAUGCGGUUCAAUAUGUGGAGUUUGAAAUUGAUAUGAGCAUAUGGUGUCACUGGUUCUCACAUCUAAGUAGUAGCAUUCCAUUCAUGAGAUCAUAUCUAAACAUGCUCCAGAAAUCGCUUUCUUUGUAAUACAUAUAUGUGAGCGUUCGUUUUCAUGUUUACAUCAAUCUUCUCACAUAUGACUAGUAUAGUGUGUGUAGUUAGAAAAUCUGAGUGAAAAUUGAGUGCAUACUUUGUAAGGACUUGAGUAAAUUCUCUAAGGCAUGUUACUACAUCAAAAACAUUGUUUUAAUCGAUUAAUUGCGAACAAGUAAGUGGUGACUAUGAUUAAGUAUGUGCUUAAGUGUGAAGACAACUAAAAUCUGUGGGGAUGACAAUUUUUAACAUGACAUGUGCAUUGGAAAUCCCUGAGGCAAACGUUGGAAGGCUUAGGUUGGAUUUUGUUCAUUUUGUUGGUUUGGUUUUGUUUAGUUAUUUUGUUUUGCUCGAGGACUAGCAAAAGCUAAGUGUGGGGGAAUUUGAUAGGAGCAUAUUUAUGUGACUUAGUUGGCUUGUUCUUGUGCAUUUAUGUCGUGUCUCUUUAGUUAUUUUAGUGUUUAAAGUCAUUUUCGUGUGUUUUCAGAUUUUAACGACAAAGUAGGCAAGAAGAUGCAUUUUGGAUCAUUUUGGAGCAAAAUGGAGCUUGGAAUGCAUGCCACAUAUUUGGAACCAAGGUUUGGACGAAAUUGAAGAAUUAAAGAGGCUAAGAAUGUGAUGAAUUAAUGUACAAAGGAUCAAGAAUUCAGCCACAAAAGAACACCCACUCCUUGCCGUGUAACCACAUAGCAUUCCCUUUGGAUUCCCAUGCAUGCUUAAUCAUCCUUGUCCCCUAAAAUAUUUCUGAUUUCAUGCCUCAAUUCACUCAAUUAUCACACUCAAUUGCUGCAUACCUCUUGUUCCCUUCACCCAUCAGAUUUCA
rnacentral:lncRNA from 1 species